GUAAGAGAAGAACUUGAAUAGAUAGAGAACUAUUGUAUUCAAUAAAAAGUCAAACAGCCUAAUUUAAAAAAAAAAAGGAUAAAGGAUCGGAAUUGACAGUUCUCAAAAGAAGAUAUACAAAAGGCAUAUGAGCACAUGAAAAGAUGCUUAACACACGUUAGCUAUCAGGGAAAUAGAAGUCAAAUCUACAAUGAGAUAGCACUUCAACGUCACCUGGAUAGCUACUGUGAAAAAAUAGUAAGUGUUGGUGAAAAUGUGGAGAAAUUGGAACCCUCAUAAACUGCUGGUGGAAAUAUACAAUGGUAUGGCUGCUUGGAGAAACAGUUUGGCAGUUCCUCAAAUGGUUAAACAUAGAAUUACCAUAUUAUCCCUGGUGAAGGGUGAGGCUUCCCUGGUGGCUCAGACAGCACAGUGUCUGCCUGCAAUGUGGGAGACCUGGGUUCCAUCCCUGAGUCAGAAAGAUCCUCUGGAGAAGGAAAUGGCAACCCACUCCAGUACCUUUGCCUGGAAAAUCCCAUGGACGGAGGAGCCUGGUAUGCUACAGUGGGGUUGCAAAAAGUUGGACAUGUCUGAGUGACUUCACUUUCACUAUAUUAUCCAGUAAUUCCACUCUUAGCUAUAGGAAAAAAUGAAAAUGCAUCCACACAACUUGUAAACAGAUGUUUAUAGUGGCAUUAUUCAUAACAGCCAGAAAUAAAAACAAGUCAAAUACCCAUCAAAUAAACAAAAUGUGGCAUAUCCAGACAAUGGAAUAUUAUUCAGCAAUUAAAAAGAAACUGGGUACUAAUACAUGCCACGACAUGGAUAAACUUCAAGUGAAAGAAGCCAGGCAGGAAAAGCCACAUAUUGUGUGAUUUGAUUUGUAUGAAAUGUCCAGAAUUGUUAAAUCCCUAUAUGGAGAAAGUAGGUUAUUGGUUGCCUAGGACUGGGGGAUGUUGGGGAGGAGUGGGAGUGACUGCUAAUGAAUUUGGGGUUUUGGGGAGGGAGAUGAAAAUGUUAUAGAAUUGAUUUUGUGGUAAUGGAGGUACUACUCUAUGACUAUACUAAAAACUACUGAACUGUGCACUUUGUGUGAAUUGUAUGGGGUGAGAAUUAUUUAUCAAGUUGUACAAAUUAAACUUUAUUUUUCUCCUUGAAGGAAAAAUGCUUAUGUUGAGGGAUAUAAAUUAAACCUUCUGUGAGACUGUGCUCAUAUUCUGGCAUAUGAAACUAAUUCUGCUGUCAAAAUAAGCAGGUAUGAUACUUGGGACAUAUGGCAGUUGAGAAAAUAUCUAUGCUAUUUGAAAAGGAUCGAAGCUGAUUAAGGCCUGGUCCCACUUGUCAAAAAUAAUUAUGUAGAGAUCAAUAAUCUAUAAGACUGAUGCUGAAGCUGAAGCUUCAAUACUUUGGCCACCUGAUGUGAAGAGCUGACUCACUGGAAAAGACUGUGGUGCUGGGAAAGACAGGAAGAGAAGGAGACAACAGAGGAAGAGAUGAUUGGAUGGCAUCACCAACUCAAUGAGUUUGAGCAAGCUCAGGCAGAUGGUGAAGGACAGGGAAGCCUGGCAUGCUGCAGUCCAUGGGGUCACAGAGAGUCGGACACGACUGAGCAAUGAACAUCAACAACGGUUGUGUUGCAUUGGUUCCACUUGCAGUCUGGAAGAGCACGCAGGUGACACGGGAUCCAGGGAACUAGGGUGGGAGGGGGAACCCACUAAGAUAACAUAGCAACUGGUUUGGCUUUAAGUGAUAAAGGGGUAGGAUUGAAGAGGGGGAUCUAGCGCUAGAAAAGGAAACGUCAGUAAGCUUGAGUAAAGGAAGACAGAAAUGCUGCACUGGCUCGCAAUAACAAGUCAUAAACUAAAGCAUACAGGUGGAAUCUAGGAAAAUGGUACUGAUGAACCUAUCUGCAAGACAGGAAUAGAGACACAAUGUAGAGAACAGCUGUGGGCACACAGCGGGGGAGGAGAGGCUGGGACAAACUGAGAGAGUAAUACUGACAUAUAUAUGUGUGUGUAAAAUAGCUGGUGGGAAGUUGCUUGUAGCACAGGGAGUCAGCUCAGUGCUCUGUGAUGACUUAGAGGCGGAAUGGGGGGAGGUUCAAGAGGGAGGGGAUAUACAUAUAUAUAUAUAUAUAUACACACACACACAUAUAUAGUUAUGACUGAUCUGUGUUGUACAGCAGAAACCAACACAACAUUGUAAAGCAAUUAUCCUCCAAUUAAAGCUGUCCAGCAAGGAUUUCAGUAGUAAAGGUGGUGGUGGUAGGAUCUGGGUAUGGAUGGAUAGAUUACAAUUAUGAGCAUUUAGCCCUUGAGCUACAUUUGUGAAUCCCUGGUCUAAAGCUUUUGAUAGGCUUAAUGCUCACAUCUUCUGGAUUUUUCUAUCUUUUUUGGCCUCCUCCAGAUAAAACUGGUAUUUAUAUUUCCCAUUUUCCUUGUCCUAGACUCAUGAGACACUAGAAGUCCCUCUGAGAAGCAAUGUGAUUGUUUCUACCACAUACUAGCUCUUUCCUUUUCCACAAACUGAGGACAACAAUAACCCACAGCAUGGUUAUAAAGGGUCUGAGAGAAUGUAAAAGCCUGAUGUCUAGUAGAUGUUCAAAAACACUAGUUUUUCUUUUUUUUUGCAAUACUCUUUUCAGUAACAAUUUGCUUGAAAUUUACGUUAAAGAUAAUGAUAUUUUAGCUCUAAGAUAUUUUUCAAUGUUUUGGAUACAUUCGGAAGACUCAAGGAUCCAUGCCUCUCAGGCAAGUCAUGGAUGUAUCUGCUCCAUAAGGAGAGUCGUAAAGUGGUUAUAGAGAAGAGACCAAAAUUAUCAUUAGGCCAGCUCUGACUUUACAGAAGAGAAAAUAUGUCUCACAAAGUUAAAUGACUUGCCUAAAGUGAUAAGACGUACUACUGAAGUUUGAUCAGCAUUCAAAAACCCAGGAUACUUUUAUAAAAUUUGGGAAGAACUCUGAUUUAUAAAACCACCUUACCAUGGGUUGUUAGGGUCACCACUAGCCCAAAUGAGGCCUUUUUGAGAAUUAGAGAAAAGUACUCCUUCUAGGUACUUUUGUCAAAAAAUUGUCAUCAAAUAUGUAAAUUAGAACAAUACACUUAUUGUCUAACGGAA
ensembl:lncRNA